rnacentral:rRNA from 1 species
GAUGAACGCUGGCGGCGUGCCUAAUACAUGCAAGUCGAGCGAACAGACGAGGAGCCUGCUCCUCUGACGUUAGCGGCGGACGGGUGAGUAACACGUGGAUAACCUACCUAUAAGACUGGGAUAACUUCGGGAAACCGGAGCUAAUACCGGAUAAUAUAUUGAACCGCAUGGUUCAAUAGUGAAAGACGGUUUUGCUGUCACUUAUAGAUGGAUCCGCGCCGCAUUAGCUAGUUGGUAAGGUAACGGCUUACCAAGGCAACGAUGCGUAGCCGACCUGAGUGGGUGAUCGGCCACACUGGAACUGAGACACGGUCCAGACUCCUACGGGAGGCAGCAGUAGGGAAUCUUCCGCAAUGGGCGAAAGCUUGACGGAGCAACGCCGCGUGAGUGAUGAAGGUCUUCGGAUCGUAAAACUCUGUUAUUAGGGAAGAACAAAUGUGUAAGUAACUAUGCACGUCUUGACGGUACCUAAUCAGAAAGCCACGGCUAACUACGUG